rnacentral:rRNA from 1 species
UACGUAGGGAGCAAGCGUUGUCCGGAAUCAUUGGGCGUAAAGCGCGCGUAGGCGGCCCGAUAAGUCCGCUGUGAAAGUCAACGGCUCAACUGUUGGAUGCCGGUGGAUACUGUCGGGCUAGAGUACGGAAGAGGCAAGUGGAAUUCCUGGUGUAGCGGUGGAAUGCGCAGAUAUCAGGAGGAACACCUAUAGCGAAGGCAGCUUGCUGGGACGUUACUGACACUAAGGCGCGAAAGCGUGGGGAGCGAACAGG